rnacentral:rRNA from 1 species
UACGGGGGGGGCAAGCGUUGUUCGGAAUUACUGGGCGUAAAGGGCUCGUAGGCGGCCAACUAAGUCAGACGUGAAAUCCCUCGGCUUAACCGGGGAACUGCGUCUGAUACUGGAUGGCUUGAGUUUGGGAGAGGGAUGCGGAAUUCCAGGUGUAGCGGUGAAAUGCGUAGAUAUCAGGAGGAACACCGGUGGCGAAGGCGGGUCUCUGGGCCGAUACUGACGCUGAGGAGCGAAAGCGCGGGGAGCGAACGGG